GCUGGGUUUGGGGCUCGUGCCUAUAGUCCCAGCUACCCGGGAGGCUGAAGCAGGAGAAUCGUUUGAGCCCAGGAGUUCUGGUCUGUAGGACACUAUGCCCAUUAGAUGUCCGCACUAAGUUCAGCACCACUAUGGUGACCUCCCAGUAGCAAGGGACCACCACAUUGCCUAAGGAGGAGUGAACCGAUCCACGACGGAAACGGAGCAGGUCAAAACUCCUGUGCUGAUCAGAAGGCAAAAAUUGGGCCAUUUUUAGAGAAUAAUUAGACAAUAUAUAAAAAUAUGGUU
rnacentral:SRP_RNA from 1 species